rnacentral:rRNA from 1 species
UGCAAGUCGAGCGGAAGGCCCUUCGGGGUACUCGAGCGGCGAACGGGUGAGUAACACGUGGGUAACCUGCCUUCAGCUCUGGGAUAAGCCUGGGAAACUGGGUCUAAUACCGGAUACGACACGCGACCGCAUGGUUGUGUGUGGAAAGUUUUUCGGCUGGAGAUGGACUCGCGGCCUAUCAGCUUGUUGGUGGGGUAGUGGCCUACCAAGGCGAUGACGGGUAGCCGGCCUGAGAGGGCGACCGGCCACACUGGGACUGAGACACGGCCCAGACUCCUACGGGAGGCAGCAGUGGGGAAUAUUGCGCAAUGGGCGGAAGCCUGACGCAGCAACGCCGCGUGAGGGAUGACGGCCUUCGGGUUGUAAACCUCUUUCAGCGCUGACGAAGCCUUCGGGUGACGGUAGGCGCAGAAGAAGCACCGGCUAACUACGUGCCAGCAGCCGCGGUAAUACGUAGGGUGCGAGCGUUGUCCGGAAUUAUUGGGCGUAAAGGGCUCGUAGGCGGUUUGUCACGUCUGCUGUGAAAGCCCGGGGCUUAACCCCGGGUCUGCAGUGGAUACGGGCAGGCUAGAGUCCGGCAGGGGAGACUGGAAUUCCUGGUGUAGCGGUGGAAUGCGCAGAUAUCAGGAGGAACACCGGUGGCGAAGGCGGGUCUCUGGGCCGGUACUGACGCUGAGGAGCGAAAGCGUGGGGAGCGAACAGGAUUAGAUACCCUGGUAGUCCACGCCGU